GAGCCAACGAAAGAUCAUUGUUAGCCAGUAGCUCUUAUAACUUCUGGUUAAUCAGGUUCACCAAGAGCAAUGAAGAUUGUGAUGUGUGCCGUUCUCAUGCUUGUUAUCAUCAGCAAUUGCACUGCAGAGAUGCCCACGAUGAUGGCUGCAGAAAAGGAGCAUGCUGAGCUUGCUGAAGAAACGAAAGUCUCUGCAAAACACGUUAACAAGAAACUUUAUCAUCGUACCAACGGAGAGCGGAACUGUACUUACCCUUCUUGCAAUUGAUUCGCAAAAACAAACUACAACAUUUUCGUGCACGUGUACUGUAUCUUGCUAUCUGCGUAUGUAUCAACAUGUAGUAUAACUGAUCCAUGAGACGCUAUGUAUCUAUCAGCAUAUGUGUCAGCAUAUAAUGGGUAUGGGCCGGGUACCCUACAUUAUAAAUAAAAAUGGAUACAGAUCGGAGAAGACAUAUCUCUGAACUUAAUAUA